CAGGGGCCUCCGGCGCGAGGCCCCCUUCCUGGUCAAGAUGGCGGCGCCCAGGCGGACCGCGCCGAGAUGAGCUGGAGCUGGGCCCGGAGAGGGACGAGUCUGCCACGCCCAGGACUUGGACCCCGGGCUGGUCUCCAGUCUCCCGGGGAGCGGCGGGACUAUUUAUCAAGGAUCUUCCUGUUCUCUAUGCUUGGACGUAUCACUGAAUAAAUUAGACAAGAGCCUUUGCCUGCGUGCUCCUUCUUGCAUGCUUUCUCCCUCCUUACACUCUCGUGUGGAAACGGAUGUUAUAAAUAAAUUCUAUGCUUGUCACAAGUUGAUGGGCGCCACGGGAUAAGGAAAAGGAUGUGAAGCUCACUGAAGAGGCUUGGGUUGGGAGUGCUGGAGGAGUGUACAGGUGGGGAAAAUGUACCAGCGUGUAUGCCUACUGGGACCACGUUUUCCAGAACAGUUAAGCCCAGUGUCAACUAUGCUGUCCCACCUUCCUCGGCUUCCCUGGUGGCGCAGUGGUUGAGAGUCUGCCUGCCGAUGCAGGGGACGCGGAUUCGUGCCCCGAUCCGGGAAGAUCCCACAUGCCGCGGAGGGGCUGGGCCCGUGAGCCAUGGCCGCUGAGCCUGCGCGUCCGGAGCCUGUGCUCCGCAACGGGAGAGGCCACAACAGUGAGAGGCCCGUGUACCGUAAAAAAAAAAACAAAAAAACUCCGUUUUAAUUUAAUUUUUCUUGAGGUAACAUUGGUUACCGCCUCUCAGCUCGAAAUUCACUCUUUUGUUACUUGCUCGGUGAAAAGUGCUGUGGGUCCUUUAAAUAGUUUUUCCUUGGCCAGCUCGUGUGAUGUUAGGCUUUCCUAAUUGAUGGCACCUGAGGAAGGUGUUGCUUCGUGAUGCCCCGGUGCUUGCUGGGAAGGCUCUUGGUGGCGUCUUCAGCACCCACUCACUCCUGCAGCUCUGAGGGCGUCCUCAGCCCUGCUCCCGGGGCUCACAACUUCUCCGGUAGUUGGCUUCAGCAGUGCGUAGAGAGAGCAGUGGACGACAGCUUCCGUCAGCAUCUUCUAUCAAGCAGUUUUGGAGUAGCGCCUCAGAUGAAGACACUGAGGAAGAGAAAAGUUAAGAAUUUGCCUAUGAUCAGUUAUCCAUCUGUUCAGCCAGUGCACAAAUUACACUGCCCAACUCCAAGAUCAGGAGAAUCUUGGUACCAGGACCACACAAUGAAGAACUUGGAGCCCCCGUGGCUAAUCCAGCAGAGAGAAAAGGAGGAACAGAGAUGCGAGAGAAAAUAAAGGGAACUCUUGGUGCAAUUUAGUGCUGCUGUAGGCCCAAGUCCAGAACUGAUUUUUCAAAAAUCACUGGAUUUAUUGAAAGACAUGGAAUAGAAAUGCAGUGAAAUUCAGAUCACAGAGAAUCAUAAAGAAAUUUGCUUUUGGAAAAAUCAGUUCUGUGUAAUUAGCAGUGAUUUCCAGAAACAUUUCUUCUAACACUGAUGUGAAGGAAAAUGCAGUUAAGGAAGAUAAAUCACUGGACCAUUGGGAGCCAUGUCAGAGGACUGAAUACUACCCAGAGAUCUUGUACUUCAGAAUAAAUGCAGUAAUUGACUUUGGAUUUUCUCCCUUUGGGAAGGAAUUAAGACAUAUUUCAAGUGGGCAUGAAUUUUUUUUAAAUGUAUUGUAGAAUGUGUGGAAUGAAAAUAUGUAUGUGGAAUAAGUUCUCGGAUAGCCAAAGAGCUUGUAAUAUUGGAUUUUAAUUGUUGCUUAUCCAUUUAUAUUCCAUAUGCCCCCUUCAUUUCCCUACUAGAAACUGAAUUCAUUUUCCCCAAAUAUCCAGUUCAUUCUAUGAAGCUUAUAUAACUUAGUAGAGACUGAGUGGGCUCCGUUUAGUCUAAACCAAUCACAAUAUUUAUCUUUACACCUAUCAGUGAUCGGUUGGAAAAUAGACAUGGAAUUUACUGAGAAUUAAAAGAAUUAGGAAGUCAGCUAAGGGCUUCUGGGAAAGUUCUUCUUUGCUCUUCAGUCAAGAACGUAAGAACAGGAAUAAGCCUCUAAAACUGAUUGCUACUGGCAGUCACCUUGUAACCCUGAGGGCAACCAGUCUUAGCAUAAAGCCAACCUGAGGACAAAAGAGAUAAAAGACAGAUAAAACCAAUGACUCUGAUGACCUCAUUAAGUCAUGUAUUCAGUGAGCUUAGAAAUCUGCUCCAACUUCCAGUUUUAUGAGACAAUAGAUGAUCUCAUUGUUUUAGCAAGUUUAUAUAGAAUUCCUAUUAAUUAAUCCAAAAGCAUUCUAAAUAAUAUAAUUGUAUUCCCCAUCUAUUCCCUCUGGAAAACCUAGAGGGUGCUUGUGAAGAGAUUCUAUAUAGGACAGUUUUCCAGGGGUAUCCACAGUAAUUCCAUACAUCAAGCAUCUCUGUGGCCUAGUUUUACAGAAAACUAAGUGCUUUUUAUUCCAUUCUGUCCUCUUUUAUGAUAACCCCCUGUAAAACUGGAUGGUCUAUAUAUGUUUGUACUCCAUUUCUGGACUAUUCAGGUACUUAGCCAUGUGACUUCAGGUUUCCUUGAAGAGCAAAACAUUACACUGGGUAUUUAUUUCAGUGUCUGGACAGCUCAUGAUAAGAAUAUUCUAUUUCAUUUUAGUUUUGUCAAUAGGGAGGGUUGUGUGCCCAGAGGAAAAUGAUAACCAAAACAGUAUAAUGUUUUCUCAUGCUUGAGAAUACUAAUGCUGUUAAAUAUUUCUUCUGAAACACUAUGUGUGGUGAAUGACUGGAAUUCAAUCCUAGGUGUAAACUUUAAUUUACUCCAUCUUUCCCCAGUUUUUAUAGUUACAUUUUUUAUUGUCCUUUGCUUUUGUAAGUAAUGCCUCUAUAAACAUUUUCAUACAAAAUCAGUAUUAUUCAAUAGAAUUAUUUUUGAAUUCCUAUUUUAGCAAGAUGCUUAUGUAUUUCAAAUUUAGUACUAGGUAUUCAUUAGGAAAUUUGAUUCUUGUUAUCAUGGAGCUUACAAAGUACUGAGGAGAGAGAUGCAAAAUAAAAUCUCACAAUAACAUAUUUUUCUGUGGUGAAUACUAUCCAAAAAAUGUAUAGUAUUUUAUGAGACUAAGAGUGAAAGAACAAACGUGUUUUCCAUUAAGAAAAAAUCUGAGAGAGACCUUCAAGAUUGCAGAGGAGUAACACGUGGAGAUCACCUUCCUCCUCACAAAUACAUCAAAAGUACUUCUACAUGUGGAACAACUCCUACAGGACACCUACUGAACGCUGGCAGAAGACCUCAGACUUCCCAAAAGGAAAGAAAAUCCCCAGGUACCUGGAGAGGGCAAAGAAAACAGAAAAAACAGAGACAAAAGAAUAGCAGUGGAACCUGCACAUCUGGGAGGGAGCUGUGAAGGAGGAAAAGUUUCCACACACUAGGAAGCCACUUCACUGGCGGAGACGGGGGUGGGGUGUGUGUGUGGGAAGUUUCAGAGCCACAGAGGAGAGUGCAGCAACGGGUGCAGAGGGCAAAGCGGAGAGAUUCCUGCAAAGAGGCUCGGUGCUGACCAGCACUCACCAGCCUGAGACGCUUUGCUCACCCGCUGGGGGGCUGGGGACUGGGAGCUGAGGAUCGGGGGUCAGAUUCCAGGGAGAGGACUCGGGUUGGUGGCGUGAACACAGUGUGAAGUGGUUAGUGCACCACAGCUAGCCGGGAGGGAGUCCAGGAAAAUGUCUGGACCUGCCUAAGAGGCCAGAAACCGUUGUUUCGGGAUGCGCGAGGAGAGGCGCUUCCUGCUCUGUGUGCCCACAGACGGCAGAGCACAGCCUAAGCAAGCUCCAGAGAUGGGCAUGAGCCGCAGCUAUCAUCUCAGACCCCAGAGUCAGGCACGGACCACUAAUGCUGCCACCACUGCCACCAAAAAUCCUGUGUGCAAGCACAGGACACUACCACACUCCCCCAGGAGCCUGUGUAGCCCGCCACUGCCAGUGUCCCAUGAUCCAGGGACAACUUCUCCAGGAGAACACAAGGCAUGCCUCAGGCUGUUGCAAUGUCACAUCAGCUUCUCCCCCCUGCAGGCUCACCCCGCAUUCCAAUUAUGACUAUCAUACCUUUCCUCCUCUCCGACCUGAGUGAUCAAGAGAGCCCUAAUAAGCCGCUGCUUUAAUCCUUUCCUGUCUGGGUGGGGAACAGAUGCCUGAGGGUGGCCUACACACAGAGGCAGGGCCAAAACCAAAGCUGAACCCCAGGAGCUGUGCGAGCAGAGGUUAGAAAGGGAAAUUUCUCCGUGCAUCCUCAGGAGCAGUGGAUUAAAUCCCUGCAAUCGACCUGAUAAACCCUGCAUCUGUGCAAUACCUGAAUAGACAAUGAAUGUUCCCAAAAUUGAGAUGGUGGACUUUGGGAGCAACUGUAGAUUUGGGGUUUGCUUUCUGCAUCUGAUUUGGUUUUGGUUUUAUGUUUAACUUAGUUUAAUUUUUAGUGCUUGUUAUCAUUGGUGGAUUUGUUUAUGGGUUUGGUUGCUCUCUUUUUUUUUUCUUUUAAUGAGUGUGUGUGUGUGUGUGUGUGUGUGUGUAUGUGUGUUUCUUUGUGUGAUUUUGUCUGUUUAGGUUUACUUUUACCAUUUAACCUAGGGUUCUGUCUGUUCGUUUUUCUGUUACUUUUGUUUUUUUUGUUUGCUUGUUUGUCUUUUCUUUUAAUGAGUGUGUGUGUCUGUAUGUUUCUUUGUUUGAUUUUAUCUGUUUAGUUUUGCUUUUACCAUUUGUUUUGGGGUUCUAUCUGUUUGGUUUUUUUCUUCCUUUUCUUUCAAGGCAUGCAGAUGGCAGGGUCUUAGUGAUACAGCCAGGUGUUGUGCCUGGGCUUCUGAGGAGGGACAGCCGAGUCCAGGACAUUGGACAACCAGAGACCUCCCAGGCCCAUGUAGUAUUGGCGAGAGCUCUCCCAGAGAUCUCCAUCUCAACACUAA